GCCAAGGUAAAGGCAAAGCGGCGGAUGUGUCUCUUCAAUUUCAUUUUGAAAGAUGUUUUCCUUCUUGUAAUAUAAUUUACAAGUGAAAUUUAGAGUCCUACAGAUUCAGACUGGAAUUCUAACAUGUACGCCUUUAAUACCGCUUGACUGUGGUACCUUUAUUCACCCGCUCAGCUCAACAUCGACGUUUCCAAGAAAUUUCCAGCCCAUAUUCAUUUCAACAAAUCAGAAAAGGGCAUUUGUUUGAGAUUUUACCUUGCUCUCUACGAUACCCCCAUCAGCCGUGUCUACUGCAGUAACUCUGUUAGAUCAGCUCAGCUCACCUGCGAUCCAACUCUAACGGACAAUCAAGAAUUCAAGCUUGUCUCAGCUUAGAACAGGUCAGAACAAGUGUGACGCCCACAGAAUUGAACUGCUAUGAAGCCCCGACCACCAGUACCAAUUUCAUCAGCCCAUCACCCCGACGACUUGAUGGCAGCAGCUCCAGACAUCAGGUCAGGGGCCUGUUUCAUAAAGAGUUACAAGUAACAUUGCCAUUAUGGCAACUACCAUGAUGUGAAGGCUCGA